rnacentral:rRNA from 1 species
GACGAACGCUGGCGGCGUGCUUAACACAUGCAAGUCGAACGGCAACGCCCUGCGUGUGUGGUGUUCUCGAGUGGCGAACGGGGGAGUGACACGUGAGUAACCUGCUCUUCACUUUGGGGUGACUUCAGGAAGCUGGGCCUAAUACCGUACAGGAGACCCUGCUGCAUGGAGAGGGUUGGAAAGUUUCGGCCGGUGGGGAUGGACUCGCGGCUUACCAGCUUGUUGGUGGGGGAGUGGCUUACCAAGGCAUUGACGGAUAGCCGGCCUGAGAGGGUGACCGGCCACAUUGGGACUGCGAUACGGCCCAGACUCCUACGGGAGGCAGCGGUGGGGAGUAUUGUACAAUGGGCGGAAGCCUGAUGCAGCAACGCCGCGUGCGGGAUGACGGCCUUCGGGUUGUAAACCGCUUUCGCCUGUGACGAAGCGUGAGUGACGGUACUGGGUAAAGAAGCACCGGCUAACUACGUG